rnacentral:rRNA from 1 species
GAUGAACGCUGGCGGCGUGCCUAAUACAUGCAAGUCGAGCGAACAGACGAGGAGCUUGCUCCUUUGACGUUAGCAGCGGACGGGUGAGUAACACGUGGAUAACCUACCUAUAAGACUGGGAUAACUUCGGGAAACCGGAGCUAAUACCGGAUAACAUGUUGAACCGCAUGGUUCAACAGUGAAAGACGGUCUUGCUGUCACUUAUAGAUGGAUCCGCGCCGCAUUAGCUAGUUGGUAAGGUAACGGCUUACCAAGGCAACGAUGCGUAGCCGACCUGAGAGGGUGAUCGGCCACACUGGAACUGAGACACGGUCCAGACUCCUACGGGAGGCAGCAGUAGGGAAUCUUCCGCAAAGGGCGAAAGCCUGACGGAGCAACGCCGCGUGAGUGAAGAAGGUCUUCGGAUCGUAAAACUCUGUUAUUAGGGAAGAACAAAUGUGUAAGUAACUAUGCACGUCUUGACGGUACCUAAUCAGAAGGCCACGGCUAACUACGUG